CCAAUAGCGUAUAUUAAAGUUGUUGCAGUUAAAAAGCUCGUAGUUGAAUUUCGGGGUCUGUCCAUUGGUCGGGCUUCACGGUCCGUACUGGUGUGAUGGGUUCCUACCUUCUGAAUAACCAGCAUGCCAUUCAGUUGGUGCGCCGGGGAAGCAGAGCUAUUACCUUGAAAAAAUUAGAGUGCUUAAAGCAGGCUAGUGCUUGAAUAGAUUAGCAUGGAAUAAUAAAAUAGGACGGCAUGGUUCUAUUUUGUUGGUUUCUAGGAUCACCGUAAUGAUUAAUAGGGAUAGUUGGGGGCAUUAGUAUUCAAUUGUCAGAGGUGAAAUUCUUGGAUUUAUUGAAGACUAACUUCUGCGAAAGCAUUUGCCAAGGAUGUUUUCAUUAAUCAAGAACGAAAGUUAGGGGAUCGAAGACGAUCAGAUACCGUCGUAGUCUUAACCAUAAACUAUGCCGACUAGGGAUCGGACGAUGUUAAUUUUUUAAUGACUCGUUCGGCGCCUUACG
rnacentral:rRNA from 1 species